CUCCUGCUGCUCAAGUGCUUAUC
rnacentral:miRNA from 12 species